CAGAUGUUAAACUGGUUGAGCAUGUUACUAAAGAAACUUCAAGUACAAGGGUCAGCUGUCCUGAUGAGAACAAAUUGAAAAACUCUAAUUCAAAAAUCAUGAGUGAGAAGGUGGGAGAACACACUUCAAUACCUAUGGUAAAUAUUGUAGGUUCAUCAAGGCCUGAUAAAUGUGGAACAGGUGUUGAUAGAACAGUUGAGCCGGCAGAUGGUGUUGUGAAAUAUUUCAGCUCAGAUUCUCUUAAAUA